UUGAAUUUUAAUGAAGAGUUUGGUUGUAGCUGGCCCAUUCAUUUGGGCAUGUGCACACCUUCCUCUUUCAUCCCAUACACACCUGUGAACCUGUGAGACAGAGAUGGGGAAUUUACUUGCUGCUUUUUGGAAUACAAAGGCAAUAGGUUAUUGGACCCCCCCUCUGUCUACUCAAUUAAUAUAAACUCAAUUUAUUUUAAAACGAAUGUAAUGGAUGUAACACAUCUCAUAC
rnacentral:misc_RNA from 1 species